rnacentral:rRNA from 1 species
UACAGAGGUGGCAAGCGUUGUUCGGAAUUACUGGGCGUAAAGGGCGCGUAGGCGGUCUUGCAAGUCCCGUGUGAAAUCCCUCGGCUCAACUGAGGAACUGCACGGGAAACUGCUUGGCUUGAGUUCGGGAGAGGGAAGCGGAAUUCCGGGUGUAGCGGUGAAAUGCGUAGAUAUCCGGAGGAACACCGGUGGCGAAGGCGACAUCCUGGACCGGUAUUGACGCUGAGGCGCGAAAGCCAGGGGAGCAAACGGG